GGGGGAAAGAGGACAUCUAAAGAAACUGCUUUUCAGUGAUUAAGACCUCAUUGUACGAGAGCCACUCUUUUCACUAUGAGAAGAACAUACUUAAUUGGCUCUAAGAAAGAAACACUACAUUAAGGCUAGCAAGACCAUUAGAUAUUAGUAUUCACAUAGCCAGGAAAAGCGACAACUGUAACAUGGUAACUACUAAAACAACCAAGCAUUGGGGGAGCUGGACAAAACCAGAGUUCCUGGACCUAGCAGACCUAGAUAAGUAUAAGUGAGCGAAGACAUAGGAUAAGCUUCAGCAUUUUAUUUUGAUAGAAAGUUAUAUU